rnacentral:rRNA from 1 species
GAUGAACGCUGGCGGCGUGCUUAACACAUGCAAGUCGAACGAAGCAUUUAGAACGGAUUACUUCGGUUUGAAGUUCUUUAUGACCGAGUGGCGGACGGGUGAGUAACGCGUGGGUAACCUGCCUUGUACUGGGGGAUAGCAGCUGGAAACGGCUGGUAAUACCGCAUAAGCGCACAAUGUUGCAUGACAUGGUGUGAAAAACUCCGGUGGUAUAAGAUGGACCCGCGUCUGAUUAGCUAGUUGGUGAGAUAACAGCCCACCAAGGCGACGAUCAGUAGCCGACCUGAGAGGGUGACCGGCUACAUUGGGACUGAGACACGGCCCAGACUCCUACGGGAGGCAGCAGUGGGGAAUAUUGCACAAUGGAGGAAACUCUGAUGCAGCGACGCCGCGUGAGUGAAGAAGUAAUUCGUUAUGUAAAGCUCUAUCAGCAGGGAAGAUAGUGACGGUACCUGACUAAGAAGCUCCGGCUAAAUACGUGCCAGCCGCCGCAGUAA